rnacentral:lncRNA from 13 species
AUGAUGAUUGUCUGUUGCUUUAGUGAUCAAAAUGAUCAACAGGAACAGAGAAUACCCAUUCAUGCUAGCAGAACAAAAUGGAUACAAUACAAUGUACUAACUCUUUUUUCCCCUGAAAUGCAUACUGACAAAGGUACUGACUGUACACUUUUAGGGCCCGUUGAUUGCGACAGCUUUUACAAAUGGAUACCAUUGAACAGGUGUUCGGUUGCCAUCUUAUUGGAGUAACCCUCUAUUUCACCUCACCAUCCUACAAACUUGUACAGGUACAGAAACACGCUUUUUUAAUAUGUCUAUUAAGCUAAAUGCAUGCAAUGGCAAAUUACUACAAGUCCAUGCUUUUACAAAACAACAUGAUUAAGCUUUGGUUGUGGAACUUGUCCUCCCUGAUUGACUGUAUACACUAAUCCUAUAGGCCUACAUAAAUGCUCCCUUAUUGACUGUAUACACUAAUCCUAUAGGCCUACAUAAAUGCUCCCUGAUUGACUGUAUACACUAAUCCUAUAGGCCUACAGAAAUGCUCCCUGAUUGACUGUAUACACUAAUCCUAUAGGCCUACAUAAAUGCUCCCUGAUUGACUGUAUACACUAAUCCUAUAGGCCUACAUAAAUGCUCCCUGAUUGACUGUAUACACUAAUCCUAUAGGCCUACAUAAAUGGAAAAACAAUAAUGAAGUUCUGGGAUUAAUUGACUGUGUAUUGUUGCUUUCUCUAGUUUGCAUUAAUGGCAGAUGAUUGGGUUUGUUCUCCGUCGCCCCCCCCCCCCAAAUAUUCCAAAACAUGUUAGGGACUUAACACUUUUGAAGCCUGGUCUGUCUACAUACAAUGCAUCACUCAGGCCAAUGUGUCAAAUAAAGCAUGCACAUGACAUGUCAAAUUCAGUGUAAUUCCUAUUGCCUGUGGUUGACGUUGUUGGUUAGGGAGUCAUCUGAAGGUAAUAGCCAAUGUUCCAGUUAUGAAACUCACUAAUAUAAUUGAACACACUCAAUUAGCACCCUCCUUAACACUGAUGCUGUUCAAAGUGCAUGAGGCAAGAGAAAGCAACAGUAAUAGAUGCAAUCUGUGUAAACUGGAAUUCUGGGAGAAUGAGUUCCUGAUAGCUUUGCUUGUGAUGACCUCACUAUAGUAGAAUGCAGUUGUGGUCUCUGGUGCGUGUGUGGUUUUGUGUAUAUACUGUACAUGCCUCACUGACUCACGCAUAUUGUUAGUAUAGUAGCAAACAACGUAUUGUUAUACGAGGCUCAUGUUGUUUUCUUAGUAUGCUAGGUUAUGGUGAAGCUUAGGUGCUCAUGUGUGCUAUUGAAAUGUACAUGCUCCUAAUUGUUCCACUGCAUCUGUGUUAUUCAGCAGAGUCUAUCUGGUGGUCCAGGGAAGACAGACCGAACCUUCUAAUUGGCUCUGUGUACAGGUGAUGUCAUCCAACUUCAAGCACUACAGCAUCACCCAGGAGAAAUGGUGGAACCACAUAACAAAAAUCAUCUCAGAAAGGAAAGAAAACUGCUGUACCAUAAUCCAAACCUGUAACCUGACAACCUGGUUUGUUAUGACAUUUCUUGAUGAUUUCAUUCACUUUUUUCCCUUCCUUUUAUUAGUUGUUUGAUUAGCUUUACAGAGAGGCAUUUUGGUUUGAUCCUAAUUAUUUGUGUCAUUUUUUGAUUUUCUCUUGUAGUGUAUGUAAAUGGUCAUGCUUCUCUCUUUCGGGGGUCAUAGUCGAGAAUGUACGAAGUAAUGUGUUCACAUUUGGUGCCAAUUCGUUUAAUCAAAAAAGAUCAGAGCUUUAGGUGUCUUUUUGCACAUAAAAGAAAUCCAAAGUGGAAAGUCUUGGAAAAAAACAUCAAUUUCAUUUCAAAUGAAAAUUCGAGAGGGUAACUAACUAAUAAAUCUUAGUAGCUGUUUUUAAUUAUUGUGAUGUCUCAUUGUUAACCAUAAUUACCUAUUUUUGGGCAAUACAAAGAGGACUCCAAUAUUUUUAUGGUCCUUUUUUACAAGUGUUGUUUUUGUUGUUUAGAAAAAAAGAUGUAUACUAUAAAACAUUUCAUAUAAAUACAUUGUGAAUUCAAAGACUUAAGAAAAAGAAAUGUAACUGUAAAUACUAUUCCAGUCAUUGCAUAUAACCAACUCGAUGAGAGAAUAGCAUAUUUUUGUGAUGGUGUGUCAAAGAAAUGUUCUAGCGCGUGAAUAGGAAAAAAAUCUCUAAACAAAUACUAUUAUCCUUUACUGCUCAGAGACAGUGACUACCCCAGUGAUGGACACAACAUAUUUCAACACUGAUGGCUUGCUCUGUAAAUACUCAAGCUGAAUAACUUUACAAGUGUCAAACCAGUGCAUUUACAAGUGGUGAGUUCAGCGCACAGUUUUAAAAUGGAUAAAAGAUCAUCGGUAUCUUUUGUCUAACCAAGUGUUAUUUAAGAGAUCAAUAUUAUUUGAGUGAUCAUUUAGUCCAAAGCACACUGUACUUAGUGUUGAAGAAUAGAACUCGAGCCUAAGCAUUUUACAGUACUCUGCGCAUCCAGACACUUUUAUACUCCUGAGAGAAAAGCUCAACUUGUUGUUUUGUUGUUGUUGUUUGUUUCCUCCUGCUUGUUCCUCUUAAGUUUGGGACUCCAUCAGUUCUCUUUUGAAUGAAUUAGGAAGGAAAACAUUUUGAUACCAUACCUCAGCCCUGUGAGUUAUACCUUGGAAUCGUUCAGAGGUUUCAUUUAUUUUAGUGGCAAAUAGAUUCAAACAUUGAAUGGAAAAAAAAAAAUGUUCAAAUCAUUGCACUGUGAGCAGUAAAGAAAGAACAGGCCAUUUCCUAUUUGCACAUGUAUAUGUUGGCUAUUUAAAAUGGUCCUGUCUCUGGGGUGAAGUAUGAAGGAUUAUUGGAUGUUGCUCCUCUCUAGAAUAGGCAUACACAAACAGCUUGGCAAAUAGCAAUUAACUGAUUAAUUACUACCAAUGUGUUGUGGUCAUGUCUUUGGAUUUCAUUGUAUUGUGUACGCCAACUUCUAAUCUAAAAUAUUGAUGCUAUUUUAGAUCCAGCCAAUAGAAGACACUGAAUAAAUUAUUCAUCCUGGUAACCAUAGCUGCUGCGCUAAUUUCUUACACAGUAUGUGUAAGGACAGGUUUUGCUCAAUUAUAGAGACAUUUAACGACAUGCUUAAAAGUGCAGUAAGAUUUGUAAACAUGAUGAUGGAAUGAGUGGUGUAUAUUCUGAUGUACUUUUCCUGCAGCAAAUAUGUUUGACAAUUCAUUUCUCCUGAUGUUUCAUUUCAUUAGCUCUUUGGUUCAGAACAACCAGGUGAAGAAAAAUGCUGGAUGCUUUUGAAUGAUGUGGAGAUAUGAUCAAGUAAUAAUUGAAAUGAGAAAACGGAAGAGAAACAUUGUAACGUUCAAAUGUAAAAGGAAAAAAAGAAAUACAAAACUUUUUAAAAAAAAGAAAAAGAUGCUUCUUCACUGAUUUCAAUUUUGAAUCAGGGGAUUUUAUUGAUAUUUUUGUGGUUAGUAAUUGUAAUAUGAUAUUAUUAAAAUGUACUGUGCAUCCAUCGAUUUCUCUCUUUCCAUUCCCUUCCCUGUCACCACAUACAAUCUUUUGUUGAUCAUCCAUGUAUUUCAAUAGUGUGUAAAAGAAAAUCACACAAAAAAACAAACCAAAAUGAACUUGUAACAGAGUGCUGUCUUUGAUACCAGUGUAGUGGUCUAUGCUCUUCUUUGUCGUUCUCUCUUUUUCUGGCUUUUCCCUCUCCUUUCUCUGUCACAUUCUCUUCCCCUCUCUCUCGCUCUCUUACUCUCCUCUAUCUCCUUGUAAUUAGUCGUAGAUGUUAUGUAAUUAAGAUAAUAC